GAUGAAGAACGCAGCGAAAUGCGAUACGUAAUGUGAAUUGCAGAAUUCAGUGAAUCAUCGAAUCUUUGAACGCACAUUGCGCCCUCUGGUAUUCCGGGGGGCAUGCCUGUUCGAGCGUCAUUAUAACCACUCAAGCUCUCGCUUGGUAUUGGGGUUCGCGGUUCCGCGGCCCCUAAAAUCAGUGGCGGUGCCUGUCGGCUCUACGCGUAGUAAUACUCCUCGCGAUUGAGUCCGGUAGGUCUACUUGCCAGCAACCCCCAAUUUUUACAGGUUGACCUCGGAUCAGGUAGGGAUACCCGCUGAACUUAAGCAUAUCAAUAGCGGAGGA
rnacentral:misc_RNA from 1 species